rnacentral:rRNA from 1 species
AUGCCGCAGCCAUGGGGGUCGCCGGGCUACGCCGACGGGGACGCACACGGUGGGUUCAACCCAAACAUCACUUUUCCCCAUGGCGACCCCGCCCAGCGCACGUCCUCGCCCGCCUUCACCGGCGUGCAAUACCCUCCAUACAACUACUUGCCGCCCGCGUACGCGUCCUCCCCGACGGCCCCUCUCCGCCGUUGCGUGCUGCCCUUCUCUCACCUCGACGACGCCGACGAGACCGAGGCCGACAUGGACGACAUAAUCGCGGAAGGUUCGGCCGCGGCCGCCGCGUCUCCCGGGUUCACCGCGGACGAGACGGUGGAUCUUAGCGACGGCAUGAACGGCGAGCUCGGCUACGUCUACGGCGACGAGGAGCAGAAGGAGCAGGACGAGGAGGACGAGAAGGACGACGACGAGGAGGAGCCGGCAAGGGGGCGCAAGAAGAAGAAGGCGACGGCCAGGCCAGAGCCGUGCAUCAAGUGGGCGUCCAAAGAGGAGGAAUGCCUCGUCGAAGCAUGGAAAGUCGUCUGCCUUGACCCGACCACCGGCGCGAACCAGAGCAUCGAGACGUACUGGGCACGCAUUAAGGCCGAGUUCGACGAGCACAAGCUCGUCGACCCCUACUUCAAAGGCGUCUACAUGCAGCGCAGGUCGAAGGCGAUGGUGAACCAUUGGGGGCUUAUCGCCAGCAUUGAGUAUCAGGCAAGGCAACAACGACGCUGA